rnacentral:rRNA from 1 species
UACAGAGGGUGCGAGCGUUAAUCGGAAUUACUGGGCGUAAAGGGCGCGUAGGCGGUUAAUUAAGUUGGAUGUGAAAUCCCUGGGCUUAACCUAGGAACUGCAUACAAUACUGGUUAACUAGAGUGCUGUAGAGGAUAGUGGAAUUUCCGGUGUAGCGGUGAAAUGCGUAGAUAUCGGAAGGAACACCAGUGGCGAAGGCGGCUAUCUGGACAGACACUGACGCUGAGGCGCGAAAGCGUGGGGAGCAAACAGG